rnacentral:rRNA from 1 species
GAUGAACGCUGGCGGCGUGCCUAAUACAUGCAAGUCGAGCGAACAGACGAGGAUCUUGCUCCUCUGACGUUAGCGGCGGACGGGUGAGUAACACGUGGAUAACCUACCUAUAAGACUGGGAUAACUUCGGGAAACCGGAGCUAAUACCGGAUAAUAUAUUGAACCGCAUGGUUCAAUAGUGAAAUACGGUUUUGCUGUCACUUAUAGAUGGAUCCGCGCCGCAUUAGCUAGUUGGUAAGGUAACGGCUUACCAAGGCAACGAUGCGUAGCCGACCUGAGAGGGGGGUCGGCCACACUGGAACUGAGACACGGUCCAGACUCCUAAGGGAGGCAGCAGUAGGGAAUCUUCCGCAAUGGGCGAAAGCCUGACGGAGCAACGCCGCGUGAGUGAUGAAGGUCUUCGGAUCGUAAAACUCGGUUAUUAGGGAAGAACAAAUGUGUAAGUAACUAUGCACGUCUUGACGGUACCUAAUCAGAAAGCCACGGCUAACUACGUG